AAGAAAAUUGGCUACAACCCUGA
rnacentral:piRNA from 1 species